rnacentral:rRNA from 1 species
AGCAUGGAAUAAUAGAAUAGGACGUGUGGUUCUAUUUUGUUGGUUUCUAGGACCGCCGUAAUGAUUAAUAGGGACAGUCGGGGGCAUCAGUAUUCAAUUGUCAGAGGUGAAAUUCUUGGAUUUAUUGAAGACUAACUACUGCGAAAGCAUUUGCCAAGGAUGUUUUCAUUAAUCAGGAACGAAAGUUAGGGGAUCGAAGACGAUCAGAUACCGUCGUAGUCUUAACCAUAAGCUAUGCCGACUAGGGAUCGGACGAUGUUAUAUUUUGACUCGUUCGGCACCUUACGAGAAAUCAAAGUGCUUGGGCUCCAGGGGGAGUAUGGUCGCAAGGCUGAAACUUAAGGAAAUUGACGGAAGGGCACCACCAGGGGUGGAGCCUGCGGCUUAAUUUGACUCAACACGGGGAAACUCACCAGGUCCAGACACAAUGAGGAUUGACAGAUUGAGAGUUCUUUCUUGAUUUUGUGGGUGGUGGUGCAUGGCCGUUCUUAGUUGGUGGAGUGAUUUGUCUGCUUAAUUGCGAUAACGAACGAGACCUUAACCUGCUAAAUAGCCCGUAUUGCUUUGGCAGUACGCUGGCUUCUUAGAGGGACUAUCGGCUCAAGCCGAUGGAAGUUUGAGGCAAUAACAGGUCUGUGAUGCCCUUAGAUGUUCUGGGCCGCACGCGCGCUACACUGAGCGGAGCCAGCGAGUACUUCCGUGGCCGAAAGNCCCGGUAAUCNUGUAACUCCUCGC